UGCAUCAACAACCACCACCACCACCACCACCACCAGCAUGGCAGUAAAAGCAGGAAUAGUGAAUGGUCACACGUAUGUGGUGACUUCUUGGACUAUCAGGCCGCCCUUGUAGUGUGUUGGACUAUCGGUGAACAAGGAGACCUGAAAGUUACGUGGUACAACUAUUUCGGUGAUAGAAGUGGUUGAGUUGCCGAUCCAAAGGCCUGGCUUAAGAGUGAUCCCGAGCUACCUGUACCAUCAAGAUCAAGAUCGAGCGUCCAUAUCAGAUGGUGAGUCUGCUUACAAAAUUGCAUUGCGGGGAUUGAUAAAGACAGCCAUAAUUAUCCAUCAUCAUCGGCGACACCAUGGCUCUUGAGAAGACAGACAGACCCUGAUGACAGCGUGGUGAGCGAGGAGUGGGAGUCAACCAGCGGGGGGGGGAGCAUGAUGCCUACUUUGAACCAGUGGUGACCUUGCUGGAGGUCUUCGUGUUAGUGAUGAUGACCAGGAGGAGGAAAUGAUAACACUGAGUUUCGAGAUCAGGCAGUACAAGCUGUUUCAUUAUCACACCUCUGAGUCGCCCCCACAGUGGAAGGAACGGGGCAUGGAGGCCAUUAAGAUUCUGAGGAACGAGCAGAAGAAGGCUGUGGAGUUUGUUCAGCGGCAGAAUUAAUGCCAGUGGCUGAGUUCAGAUCCUCCAAGACACACACACACACAGCAGCCCCUCCACCUCCCCACAGCCCUCCAC